AGAGUUUGAUCCUGGCUCAGAACGAACGCUGGCGGCGUGCUUAACACAUGCAAGUCGAGUGCGCGUUCCGUAGCAAUACGGAAUGGCGCACGGCGCACGGGUGCGUAACACGUGGGUAAUCUGCCCUCUGAUGGGGAAUAACUCGCCGAAAGGCGAGCUAAUUCCGCAUAAUAUUCCGAGAACUUAGGUUUUUGGACUGAAAGGCGUAAGUCGUCGGAGGAGGAGCCCGCGCCCGAUUAGCUAGUUGGUAGGGUAAUGGCCUACCAAGGCUUUGAUCGGUAGCUGGUCUGAGAGGAUGGCCAGCCACACUGGAACUGAGACACGGUCCAGACACCUACGGGUGGCAGCAGUCGAGAAUUUUUCUCAAUGGGGGAAACCCUGAAGGAGCGACGCCGCGUGGAGGAUGAAGGCUUUCGGGUUGUAAACUCCUGUCAUCUGGGAACAAAACUCGCAAGAGUUUGAUAGUACCAGAAGAGGAAGAGACGGCUAACUCUGUGCCAGCAGCCGCGGUAAU
rnacentral:rRNA from 1 species